CCUUGAAGACGACGAGGUUGAUAGGCUGGGGGUGGAAGUGCAGCAAUGCAUGGAGCUGACCAGUACUAAUCGGUCGAGGGCUUAUCCAA
rnacentral:rRNA from 1 species